rnacentral:rRNA from 1 species
GACGAACGCUGGCGGCACGCUUAACACAUGCAAGUCGAACGAAAAUGUUUCACCGUAGCUUGCUACACCGAGACAUUUUAGUGGCGGACGGGUGAGUAACACGUGAGGAACCUGCCUAUCAGAGAGGGAUACCGUUUGGAAACGAACGUUAAUACCUCAUAACGUAACGAGAUCGCAUGAUAAUGUUACCAAAGAUUUAUCGCUUAUGGAUGGACUCGCGUCUGAUUAGAUAGUUGGUGAGGUAACGGCUCACCAAGUCGACGAUCAGUAGCCGAACUGAGAGGUUGAUCGGCCGCAUUGGGACUGAGACACGGCCCAGACUCCUACGGGAGGCAGCAGUGGGGAAUAUUGCGCAAUGGGGGAAACCCUGACGCAGCAACGCCGCGUGCAGGAAGAAGGUCUUCGGAUUGUAAACUGUUGUCGCAAGGGAAGAAGACAGUGACGGUACCUUGUGAGAAAGUCACGGCUAACUACGUG